GACGAACGCUGGCGGCGUGCCUAACACAUGCAAGUCGAACGGAGUUGCUCUUCGGAGUAACUUAGUGGCGGACGGGUGAGUAACGCGUGAACAACCAACCCUGCACAGGGGGACAACAGCUGGAAACGGCUGCUAAUACCGCAUAAGACCACAGAGCCGCAUGGCUUAGGGGUCAAAGGAGAAAUCCGGUGCAGGACGGGUUCGCGUCCCAUUAGCUAGUAGGCGGGGUAACGGCCCACCUAGGCAACGAUGGGUAGCCGAGCUGAGAGGCUGAUCGGCCACACUGGGACUGAGAUACGGCCCAGACUCCUACGGGAGGCAGCAGUGGGGAAUAUUGGGCAAUGGACGCAAGUCUGACCCAGCAACGCCGCGUGAAGGAAGAAGGCUUUCGGGUUGUAAACUUCUUUUAAGAGGGAAGAGUAGAAGACGGUACCUCUUGAAUAAGCCACGGCUAACUACGUG
rnacentral:rRNA from 1 species